rnacentral:rRNA from 1 species
CGACUGGCAGAGAUGCCUUUCUUCCCUUCGGGGACCUACACACAGGUGCUGCAUGGCUGUCGUCAGCUCGUGUCGUGAGAUGUUGGGUUAAGUCCCGCAACGAGCGCAACCCUCGACUUUAGUUACCAUCAUUAAGUUGGGUACUUUAAAGUAACCGCCGGUGAUAAGCCGGAGGAAGGUGGGGAUGACGUCAAGUCCUCAUGGCCCUUACGCGCUGGGCUACACACGUGCUACAAUGGCAAGUACAGUGGGCAGCAAUCCCGCGAGGGUGAGCUAAUCUCCAAAACUUGUCUCAGUUCGGAUUGUUCUCUGCAACUCGAGAGCAUGAAGGCGGAAUCGCUAGUAAUCGCGGAUCAGCAUGCCGCGGUGAAUACGUUCCC